rnacentral:lncRNA from 1 species
AGAAAUGGGCUUAAGUGGAAAAGAAGGGAACAGUAGCAAAUCUGGGAGAAAGGGGGCGGCGGCACUGUAGAAAAUUUCACCUCGCCGGAGCUUUGACCGACCGCUUGGGUGGUCAAACGACCUCCGUUUCAGCUCAGAUUUGGAGGGGGUGUUCUACUCGAUGAGGGGAACAAUCCUACGAUGGCCAAUCGUAUUUUUAGUGGCUGAAUUCUUAAAUAUGUGGUAGGGGACCCUAACCCUAAAACUUAAAUUUUUAUGUUUUUCCCUUGAAAAAAAAAUUGUAAAUAUUGUCAUUAUGAGUUAAUUAGGAAUUAUGAGGGUUGUAUGAAUUUUUCUAGAAUAUUUGGAAUUUGUUUGGAAUUUUUGUAAUUGCGGGAAAUUGAUUUUGAUUGAUAAUUAAUUGUUUUGAAUUGUAAAAAAAAAUUAUUGGAAGGGUUGAAAAAUUCCAAAAUUAGGGUUAAAUUUCAAAUAUAGUGAUUUGUGAAUUUUUGGGCAUUAGUUAGAAAAUUUUUGGAAUUUUUAUGAUAGAAAGUUAGUUAAUUUCGAAUAUUAGAAAUUAUUAUAAUGGUUGAAAAAUUCCGUAAGUGUGGUAAAAUUUCAAGAUUUUUGAUAUGCAAAUUUUUUAUUAUUUAUUUGGGAUAUUAUCAGAAAUUUUAAUGUGUGAAAUUAUUUUAUUGGAUUAUUGGGGAAUGUUGAAAUUGUUGAAUUAUUGAGGAACCUUAGAAUUGUGGCAUUCAUUUGCAUCAUGGUUAUGUGGAAAAUAAAUAAAUAAAUAAAUAAAUAAAUAAAAUUAUGAAGAUUGUGAAAAAUGUAUGAAAUGGAAAAAAAAAAAAUUAGUGAUGAGAAGUGAAAACCGUGUAGGGCGAAUUAAGAAAAGAGAGAGAUCCGUAGGGUGAAAGACCCAAAAGUUGCCCCGGGAAGACUCCGAAUGGGGAGUGUAUUUGGGUGCGGACGCGUAUCCUUCAGUGAAAGCCCGAGAACAAUAGUGCAUUGUAUGACUAUGUGUCACAUGUUCAUAUGCAUUCAUGUAAUUGUUGAAUAUUGUGAAAUUGUGUAUAAAAUUAUAUAUUAAACUAUGUGGUUUGAUUGAUACUGUUGAAUUGUUCCUGUGUUGUUGAAGUGUUCUUUUCGUAUUCUUUGAAACUUAGUAAUCCCCUUAACCCCUUGGGUGUUAGGCACUCUACUGAGCAAUGUGGAAAUGCUCACCCCUUCCUUGUUACACCUUUUUAGAUGCAGAUAUCUCUCCUGAGGAUCCACAGGUGGGACAGGGAGGACUUCAGGAUGCUCCUAGAGCAGCCUAGUGGAGCGUGACAUUUUCUGUUAUUGUGUUUUUGUUUGGAUUUUGGGAUUUGUUUUAGUAAUUAUGACUCAUGGAUUUGUUAUGAAUCUUUAUUUUGAUUAAGUCGUUAAUUGUGAACUUUUAUUUUGGACUAUAAUGAAUAUUUAUUUGAUCUUAUUGUUUUGAGUAGUUUUGGG